ACAUGGGAUUGGCUGUGAUGUUCUAUUUCUGGUUCCUCUUGGUAUCCUGCAUCCCAGUGGUACCUGCACUUCGUCUGGAACGUAAGAUUAUACAAAGAGAGGCUCAUUACUUCAUUUACUGAACUUCCUGACUGCUUCUUAAAAUUCUUUCCAUGACAACUUUAAACAAAGACGCAUCACAGACAAAUUUAUGAGUACACUUUUCACAUAACGUGAUUUAUUCGUAUUUCUCAUAAUGCUACUCUGCUUCAGCACCUCCCAAUCACUUUCUUCUGUCUUUCUCUGCUGUGAAAAAUUCCUUUAACGUGGUGACAGGGUCUGAAGUGUUGUCGGCAGCCACGAAGAACAGCUGGGAGGCAUACGCGGUAACAGCGGUGAAGGAUGUCCUGCUUGUGUCCUCAAAAAGCGACGCCUCUCUUGUCAUUAUUGGUGGUAAAGGCUUCUCGAGGGAAGUCAGGAGGUUCAUCGGAGUCUCGCGGAGUGUAGCGGUGUUUGAGGCUGCCAGUAAUGGGUCGCGGCUUGACAAGGUCGUCAAAAGCGCCCGCCAGGUAGGACUCAGGCCUGCGUCGGCAAAGUUUUUGUUGCUAUUGUUGC